rnacentral:rRNA from 1 species
ACGGGAGGCAGCAGUGAGGAAUAUUGGUCAAUGGGCGGAAGCCUGAACCAGCCAAGUCGCGUGAAGGAUGAAGGUAUUAUGUAUUGUAAACUUCUUUAGCUGUGGAGCAAUAAUCGCCAUGCAUGGCGAGAUGAGAGUACACAGAGAAUAAGGAUCGGCUAACUCCGUGCCAGCAGCCGCGGUAAUACGGAGGAUCCGAGCGUUAUCCGGAUUUAUUGGGUUUAAAGGGAGCGCAGGCGGAGAGGCAAGCCAGCCGUAAAAUCGUUGAGCUCAACUCAAUCUCGCGGUUGGAACUGCUUCCCUUGAGUGCACGAGAGGAUGGUGGAAUUCGUGGUGUAGCGGUGAAAUGCAUAGAUAUCACGAAGAACUCCGAUUGCGAAGGCAGCCAUCUGGCGUGUUACUGACGCUCAUGCUCGAAGGCGCGGGUAUCAAACAGGAUUAGAUACCCUGGUA